UAUCACAUGGGUGUUAAUGAUAAUGGUGUAUGACUGCUUUACAUAUGAGUCCUAUGCAUCUGGAUGCUAAAAAUAAAGUGGAAUGGUCUCUUAAAAGAAAAAAGAAAAGAAAAAAAAAAGCAAUGACAAAAAAAAAUUCAUGACAAUGUUCCUUGAUUUAAAAAAGAAAAAAGAAAAAAGAAAAAGAAAAAAAGAAAAAAAAAGAAAAAAAAGAGAAAAUGAAACAGACCAUUCCAGAUGGUGAUCUGCUUACCCCCUAUCAAAAAGAGUUAUAAUCACUAAAUAAUAAUGGUUACUGGUACCUUUACAAUAAUGUGCAAUCCAAUGUUUAAAAUUUAUACCACUUCAGUUUGGCUUGAUCAUAUAAAUUUUCAACAGAUGUCUUAAAAUUUAAAAGCAGGCUGAUUAGUUUGGAACCAGACUUCAAGUAGCGCUAACAUUUGGUGAAUAAGACAACUUCAUAUUACAUUUUGGAUGUAUGAAAGAAAACUUGACCAUUUGAAGAUGUAUGAAUAAAGAAAUGUACUAUAGAUACUACUUUAGGAAAACCCUGUUUGUAGUCGUGAAAGAUGCCAAAUUGGCAGAGGCUCACGUUUCUUCUCUUUACACCAAACAGAGAGAGAACAUCACUGCCUGAAUUUAGCUUUGUGACUACAUGAGCAAGCCCUCUUUGUCCUGUCUGGAGACGACUGUUAAUAAUAGCAUCUUGUCAUUUGGUUUGCUCUCUAUCAAUCUGAAUAGAUGUUUACAUGGACCGUGAUGACCAUUUUAUCUUUACAGUUCUGUACAAGUCCAUCUGAGUCCAGACGUGUAUCAAAUGUGUGAGGUUUAUGACCUUAUUUAGAAAUGUUUUCUUCCCUUCAUAGCAAUUUAAUUUGUAAAACACCUUUAAGGAACAAGGCCUUUUAGUUUCCUUAUGAGAUGUAUUAUGUCUCAGGCAAACUGAGAGAUAUGUUUGGGAAAUCUAUAAAGCCAUGAGAGCAUUAAUUGAACAAUUUAGAAUGAAGAAAAUGAAUUAAAAAGUUAAACAUAAGUUUGGCUUUAAUUUUUUUUUUUAUUUUUAAUUAGGAUAGCCACUAAAAAUUUUGGGCCGACUGUAAAGUACUUGUUACACACUGUGAUUAACUUGUCUAUUUCUUGUGAGUGUGUUGAUUUGAUGGAACUGCCAGGGCCACUGACUCCAGUGCACAAGGAAAAUAAUUUCAUUUCUUUUCAACUAAUAAAUGAUAACCUAUGGGUUCUAAAAUUGAAAAACAUCUAUUAAAUUUGUCUAAUUUAUAUAGUUUUCAUCACUGUAAUCAAGACAUCAAAGACAGUCCUAUAAGCAAGGGGAAAUAGUGUUGUUACAUGUUUGUUUUUAAGGAAUAGUUUUCAUUAUUUAUAAGCAAUAUAGCUUAAGCUUUACAAAGUAUAAAAUUAAAGUUUUCAUUCUAAAUAUUAACAAAGUUCUUUUUAUAGCAUACCCAAAAUAGUUUUUCACUAAGUUCUUUUGAGUAUUCCUUCGUAGAUUAUUAGGGGUAUUUGAGAAGCCUAAUGUGACAGCCACUCUUACUUCGAAAGAUCAAAAUUAUAUUGAUUCUGAUUUUUUUUUCUAUUUCCUUUAAGUUCUACUCAGUCACACUUUCUUCUACAAAGCUGAUACCUGCAAACACUUUUUCCCUCUUGAGUAUGCAUUGUGAUUGUCUUCAUGAAAAACAAGAUGUGACAAACUCAUAGUCGUAUAUAAGUGAUCUGUCUUGAUCCACAUUGAUUAUACAUGCAUGGUUAAAGGAAAAGCAUGUAUAUUAGGUAAUUAAUCAUUUAAAUAAUAAUUUGGAUAGCCAACAAGGUAUUUUUGUUUGGUUGUGCCCCACCACAUGCCCACUUUUUGUGUGUGUGUGUUUUUUUUUUCUUACAAAUUGGCAGAGAGCCAUGAAGUAUUCAUAAAUGUUUAAUCAGACUAGUUGAUACUUUUUUAUUUUCAAAAAAGACUUUACAGUAGUAGUGUUAUAGCUGCUUAAUUUAGAGCCAAAGGACAUUGUCUGAAGAGACCAUACCUGCCAGUGACUCUUUUGAUUUGUUCAUAGAUGAAUGCUACACACUGUCACCUUAACUAAUCUUGCCAUUGCUUUUUACUUUGCUCUUGAAUUAAAAACAAAGCAAACCAACGUAGAAUAUGCCCUUGGGAAUCAAAGGUCGUGUUGAUUUCUCCUUAAGAUCAUUGCCCUUUUUUUUUUUUAAUUGUUGGUAGAUUCAGUUGGUCAGUUAUAUUUAAGUCCCUAUAAAUCAGCUAAUUAGAGAUUCUCUUUUAAAUUUUUUCUUGAAUAGACUUGUCAUGGAGCUACGUGUACAUAACUGUACAAAAUCAUUUUUGUGUCAUUGAAUGGAGCAGUUUACCUCUGCAUGAUUGCAUUAUGGAAGCCUUUUAUAUAUCUUUAUAUUUUUCAAUAUACUUAGAUUUUACAAUAUUGGUCGCUCUAGUCAUGCUAUAUUUGUUUUUUUUAAUAGAAUUUAUAAAUAUUUAUGCUCAAAAUACAGAUCAACUAAAUAUUUUUGGUCUUGUUUACAAGAUAAUACUUUAAAGUGAUACAGGCCCCUCAAGUGUCUUAGGAAACAGUCAUUGGUGCUAUAAAACCUUUCAGUGUCAUUGAGUCUGUUGUUUAGUCUUUGCUAGGCUUUAAUCUACUAUCGCUUACACUUUAGCUAGCAGCAGAAUUAUAAAGAGGUAUUUGUUAGCGCUGGGGUAAGAGCGCAACCCCAUUAGAGAACACCUAAUAAUUUAAGAAAAUGAUGCAGAAUGACUGUAUCCUUAUUUGUGCCCAGCUUCUCCCAAAAGAAAAUAGUUUAUUUUGAUAAGAGGGAGGCUAUUAAUUUGAGUAGCAUUUAAAAAUGAUAUGCUCAAGCAUGUUUUCCCCUCAUAUUUGAAAUGGAAAACUUUUCUAGUCCUAAAAUUAUGAAAUUUUACUUUGCUUUAAACUCUCAUCUGUCCUUCCCUCAACUGAAGGCAGAGUAUUUCGUACAGGUAUUUACAGAAUAUUUGCUGAGUUAUAAAGAAAAGAGUUAUUACAUUGUACUCAUUGUACUAGUUUUCCAUUCCUGUGUAUUUGUCGUCCUGCCCCCAGAUUUGAUUCCAGCACUUAGUGGAUGUUGGUGAGACACAGGGAAGCGUCAGCAGAGCAUCCUCCUCUAUGCUUUCUUUUGAUUCUCAGAAUCCAAAACCUGCUUUGAGUGUGAUGAUACUUCAGAACAUACUGUCUGGCACAAGAUUUCCUUUAAUAAGUCAUUUAUUUUAACUCAGUUUCUAUGAACUGUUAUUGAAUCUGAAAACACCAAAGGAGUCUUUUCUUGUCUGAAGACUGGGUUGUUCCAGUGGUUAGCACCUGUGCCCAUGAUUAUCCCAUUUCAUGAAUGCGUUGUUGGCAUGGGGGUUCCCUGCUCUUUGAGAGGAGCAAAAGUAACUGGUUAAGCUGUAGCAGCUUAUUUUUAAAAGUGAUGAUAAAACUUGAACUGAAAAAGGUAAAACUUGAACUAGAAAACUACUCUUGUAUGCAAAGAAUGUUUAUAGUGAAUGUGUUUAUGUGGGUUGUCAACACUUCUAUUAUUUAUAGUUGAAUUAUGUUGUUUAUUAAAUAUCCAUGUUUAUUAUUUUUAUAUUUUGAAAUUUAAAAAUAAAAUAGUCUUAAUAAAAACAGUUGUUAAUGUUUUAAAAUUA
rnacentral:lncRNA from 1 species